rnacentral:lncRNA from 1 species
AAUUCUCUCACUUCUUUCUCUCGACAAAAUAACCCCAAAAAAAUCCAAAAGAUUGAGAUAUCCUCAAAACUACAUUCUUCUAUAUCUUUCUUCCGGUUCUAUCAGCCCUAAUGCUUCUAUGUUCGAUCUUUGUUUUCUUUUAGUUUGAAGUUUUGUGAAACGUUCUCAAAAAGGCAGAAAAUUUACAGUGGCGUCGUCAAGUGGUGACACAAGCUCCGUCGGAUAAGUUUCUAGUUUGUUUGGUGUGGAGAUUUCAUUUAUUGCUUUUUUUUCGAAGGGAUUUUAAAAGUCAUUCUAAUUAUUAUUAUUUUUUAAUCUUUCAGAGAAAUUGUCAAAAAGUAACGAAUGCUUACGAUCUUUCUAUUAUAUGGGAUUUUUAUGUGAUUCUUUUGGUAAAAAAAUCUUUAUCUUUACAUUUCCAUAUGUUUACUGUAUUUUAUUUCAACGAUUAAUUAUUAUACUUGAUAUUUAUUUUUUGAGAAAAAAAAAAUAGGCGACAAUGAUCUACAUCAAUAAUUUUGAGGUUCUCCAUCUGGCAGUGGGAAGUAAUUUGGUCAUGGCCUUGGUCUUGCGGAAUCCCAGGUUUGUAUAGAGCCAACGGUGUCCUCCUUUGAAUGCGGAAUGACGACUACUUCUCCAAUCGAUUCCAAGUUGAACCUGUUAAUCUCAUAUGUGGCUCAGAAACACAUGUAUUUUCUUUUCUUUUUCCCGUUGCACAUAUUUUCCCACUACACGUGAUGGUUAUUAGGUUUUCUUCAUUGUUGUUGUGUAUUAUUUUAAUUCAUGUUAAUUUGGAUUCUUCUUCUUAGCCAAUAAUGCUUAAGGCUUCUUUAAAUCUAUGGUUUUUUUUUUAAGUUUCCAACUAACAACAAUCUAAAAUGACAAAGACUUGGGGCAUAGAAAUGGAGCUGCAUUUGCUGUUAUACAUGUACUUGUUUGUUCGUUAAUGGUUCGUUCUUUCACUAUUUUUUUUUAUGUACGUUGUACUAUUUUCUUCCUGGAAAAUAUAAAUUGAUUUUUAAAUAACUUGUACAAUUAUAGUUCUUUCGCUAUAUGAUGAGUUAUAUUUUGAUUUUUCUUAAAUAAGCAUUACAAUUUUGCAUAUUAUGGAAUCUGUAAUUUAUUCGGUGCUAUUAACCAUUAGAGGCUCCUGUACACUUCUACAGAUAUCAUUAUCAUAUAUGUGUGUGUGUGUGUGUGAAUUUCGUUUCAAUUCAAUUUUGUAUUUUUUUUAAUUUUUUUUUUUUGGAUUUUACAGAGAGAUGCUCAGCAGAAAUUAAAUGAUUUAUUAAGAGAGCCUCGUGCAGCACCAAUAAAUCCAUGAGAGAUUAUUUGUAAAAGGGCUCCAUUGAGCCCUGUAUCGGUGAUAGAACCAAUUCCUAUAAUUAUGAAACCCAUAUGAGAUACAGAGGAAUAGGCUAUUCGUUUUUUUUAAAUUCCGUUGACCGAGAGAUGUUGAAGCUGCAUAAAUUAUUUGCAUUGCGCCUACUAUGAACAACCAAGGAGAAAAUAUAGAAUGAGCAUGGGGUAAUAAUUCCAUAUUGAUCCGAACUAAUCUAUNAGCAAAAGUAAUAAAAAAUCCAAUAUAAAAUAUUAUUUCCAAGGCCACAGGAUAGGACUGAUUGGCUAAUAUUUCUAAAUUUAAUGUUGGUUCAUUAGAACCAUAUAAAUCGAUACCAAGAACUCCCAUUAAAAAAAAAAAUAGAACCCCCCGCCGUGUACAAAAUAAAUUUGGUAGCUGAGUACAGACGUUUUUUUCCUCCCCACAUUGAUAGAAGUAGAUAAACGGGAAUUAAUUCUAACUCCCACAUGAGGAAAAAAAGUAAAAGGUCUAUGUAUUUUUUUUUAAUUUUUAUUUUUAUGAAUUUUCCUUGCAAGUUGUAAUUUUUUUCUAGAGUUUUGGGGUUCUUUUAAUGCUAAACAAUUUACUGGGAAAAUUGUCGCUGUUCUACCUAAAAUGGAGUAGAACAACACUUUGCAGUAGUAGAGAGCUUCGUCUUCUUCCUCUUCCCAAUCCAUAGAUUUAAUUUUAAGGUCUGGUUCUUCCCAUUUGUCUGAAUCUUUUUUCAUCAAGUAAAAUACUUCUUCUAUUUUUCAUUCUUUCCGUUCUUCACUUUUCAAUUUCUGUUGUGAGUAAUUUCUUUAAUUUUCUUUGAAGCUUAAAUGAUAUAUUCAAGCAAUUUCCACUUGGAGUGUUCAUUAUAGUUUUCUUUAUGAUUUAUGAUUUAUGAUUGUCCUUUUAGGAUAAAUAGUGUUGUGAUUCAGAUAUGAUGGUGUUUUGGUGACUUUUUCUGCUACUCGCAUUUACAUACGCUACUAUUCUUCCUUAUGCUCAUCCCUUCCAACGCGCCGCUAUAGAUGUUGAUGCCACUGAUGAUUCAGCUCUGCUUAUAGGUUUUUUAUUUUUGAUUUUUUCAGUUUUGUAUAGAUUUUAUGUGUUAAAAAAUGAAUCUAUUUGAAUGCCGGGGACACUCAUAGACUACUUGGUUAUAUAUUUCUAUUGAAAUGCACCUAAAGGUUUAGGAAAUGAAGAAGACGAGAGUUCUAAAUUUCUGUUUCUCUAAUUUUUUUAAACCAUUAAAAUUUGUGUAUAAAAUUUAGUGGCUGCUUAAUAACUAUAAUAUAUUGUAAGUGCAUUUAAGAUUGGGUUUACCAUUUCUCUCAAUUGGAUGGUUAGAAAAUUUGACUUUCUGUAGCUUUUUAAAUUAUCAGUUUUUGUAUGUAUAAAAGUUAGGGCAGAACUAAUCAUGAAAAUAAUUUAUGUGCAUUGGCGACUGAGUUUUCAAUGUUUUUUUUUUUUUUAAAUAAUAUGACGGGGGAGUCUGCAGCCACUAUCAUUCAGGUGCAUACUGGAUAAACCCUCGGACUAACACAAUAGCCUGCAAAUCAUGUCAGUCAGGUAAAUCUCAUUAGACAAACCCUAUGCGACAGACCUGACCGAGAAAGUGUUGGUAGGGGGUAUCGAACUCGUGACCAAAGGCCUUCGCACUUACUUACUCCACCAAUUCGGCUACCCCAUGAGGGGCAAGUUUUCUAUGAAUUGGAUGAUUACAAUGUUGGAUGAUGGGAAUCAAACAAAGGAAAAUAGCUUCAUCUAUGUUUAGUUUUUUAAACACUGUUUAUUUUGCCAUUAGGAUAAGUAAUUUUCUUUAAAUGGUGUGAAUUUUACCUUCUAUUAGAUAAAUUUUAUUUGAACUACUUAUUUCUUUUAUGUAUUUUUAUGUGCAUAGAAUGAAAUAUUAAGAUAUUAAACUAAUUCUGAUAUUAUCUUUGAUUCUAUCGGACAUUCCAAAAAAAUAAAAGAAAAGCAUUAAAAGAAGGUUUUGAUUUCAUUAGUGAUGAAUGGGACUUCAAGCAUGCUUUGUUAAGCUUAAAUUUAGUCUAAAAUCACCUUUACAUUUUGUAUCAAACUUGUUUCCCUGUGCUCAUUCGUAAAACCUUUAUUUGUAAUUUAAGUAUAUUAGCAAAAUUAUUUUAUCUGUUGAGACACAUAAAUUACUGCCAAUUCAAAUAAUUUGUUUAUACUUUCACCAAGUCAUACAUAGAACUUCUCUUCUGCCUUUAAUUAAAUUAGCUAAACAUGAACUUCCUUUUCUGAUAGAACGAAAGAAAGAGAAAACACAUAUUGAAUGUAUUUACAUUGUAUAUUCAUUAUUCUUUUUCCAUUGUAGAACUUAAUCUGAUUAUAUUGCAAACAGUAUAAACCAUCUGUUGGUCUAUUUAUACCUCAAAACAAUAAAUUCUAGUGACUAUGAUAUUUUUUUUUACGUAACAAUGAUGCCUUAAAGUAAAAACUGGAGAAGAAUUUAUUCACCUUUGGGAUUGUCUUAAUUUGGCACUUGUGUUUGCAUGGUACAUAAUGAUUUAUUUUUUCUAAGUUAAUUUAGAGUAUUUCUGUUUAGAUAGUACAAGUUAGUAUCUUCUCAAUUUGUGACUGAAUUUUCGUUCUGAUACCUUAAAGAAGACAAACUGAUAAAGUCCAGUGUUAUGAGACUACAACAAUGAAUUAAUUGGGCUACUUCCCGACACUGGAACCUGGUGAGGUUAGAAGUUGCUGGUUUUUUAUAUAUUGGCCUUUUCUCUAUAUUUAGUUCUUCUUCCUUCCUUUAACUAAUAUAUUCUAUGUACGUGGAUUAUUCAAUUCUAGGUAACAAGAUACCUUGUUUUCGGGAUGUAUAGUUGAUUGGACUUUCGAUGUAUCAUCUUGAUUAAUAGCUCAUAAGGACAGAAGUUAGUCUCAAAUUUCUUCAAGACUUGGAUACAUUAAAAUUAGAAUUUGAGUAACGCAAAGCAAUUCCAACUUUAAUGUGAUAUCUACUAACUCCUUUCAACAAGUAUAAAAUUCAGCUCAGGUACUUACGUUGACCUUUCUAUGUUAAAUGUUUGUUCUUGGAGUUACAAUGUCCCUUUUGUAUACAGACCAUAUUAAAGCUACAAACUGAUAGACACCUGCUUUAGAAUUUGUUUCUAUAUAAUGUGUCCAAUUUAUUUAGUGGUCAUACUACUGAAUAGUUGACUUGGGAUGCAGUUGUUUGAUUACUAAGUUUUUUAUUUUUUAUUUUUAUCCGUACAUUCGAGGGGAUUGAAGAAACAUUUGAAUAGACUCAAUGCUCCAAAGCAUUUGAUGCUUGACAAGCUUGGCGGAGCAUUUAAGUGAAUAAUUAUGUAGCCAUGUGUAUAUUUCUUCUUCUGGUAUAGUCAUUGCCAUUUUAAUGUAACGUGUUUUGGUCCAUGGGAAGGCGUGAACUGAUAAGACUUAUCCAGCUGGCUUCAUGGGUAUGUGUCGUGUCUGGGUUCGUUUCCUUAUCGGUAUGUAAUGUAAUGACGGUACAUGGUACAAGAGUGAGUUUCUUAUGGUUAAUCGAUGCCUUUCACAUCCAGAUGUUGUCUCCAUUCUAAACGAGAACUUCUGUCUCCUCUAUGACACCAAGGGGCAGAUUUCGAUUCCAUUUAAUCAGGGACGAAGAGGCAAAGGUCUGUUACAGCGGCUUUAUUUUUUCACUUGUAGGUUCUCCUGAGAAAUAGUGCUAUUUCCCAGAAGUUAAUUUCAGAAUUUUCGAACUUCUCUUCCUUACUACUAUUGGUCAUUCAGAUGUUCUCAUCUUGAUUUUCUGAAAGUAGAUAUUUUCUUCUUGGAUGACGAAUUUUUUUCAAAUAAUAACUAGGGAACCAAUUGUUUUGCAUUGGAGUCCUGUUAUAAUAAUCUCUCUUGAGUAGAUUUUUCAAAUAAUAGCUAGGGAACCAAUUGUUCCAUGUUGGAGUUCUUGUUAUAAUAAUGUCUCUCAUAUUACUUUAUGGUAAUUUUAGCUGUGGUCUGAUGCAAUAUUUUUUGCCUCCGUCCAGUUUAAGCUUUCAAAGGUUCGAUCUGUCCAGUUUGGGAAAAAUGGGUUCUGGCUAGGGAUUUCAGUCAAAUUCCGAAAAUAUCCCUGGGAUCAAAAUAAACCGCAUACAAGCUCCAGAUUAGUUGGGUGUAGAUCGCCAGAGGUUUCAGACAAUAUAUAUGAACCACAUUAAGUAAAAAUUUGUAUGAUUCUGAGUUUGGAAAAUAGAAAUUACAUUUCUAAUUGCCGAUAUGAUUCUCAUGCUUGUUAAUUCUCAUCAGGUUGGGCUGUUAUGCUGUUCAGUCUUAUGUAGAGUAGAUUCUGACAUAGCUCUUUCCAUGAUCAUCCAGUAAGUGAUCCUAUAAGCUCAUAGUACAUGACAAAAUUUUGCUUGCUAAACUUUAGUCGAGAAAAAAGAUUAAAUUAUAAGAUGGAAUAUCCAUUCAUACUUUCAUAUUUAGUUAAAAACAUCAAUGAAAUGAGAAGAAAAGCUUUGUAAAUCACUUACCACAGGAAAAAAUGUUUCUUGUUUCUAUUUGUCAGGAAGAUAUUCUCUUGUUCAUUGAAGAACUCAAUUAGUCACAAAAUAGAUUACUUAUUUAUCCUAUUCUAUAUAUCAAGCUUGUUCUAAAGGGUUAUUUCUUCACUCUUCUAGGAAUCACAGUCCUCGUGGCCAUCUUAUGCAGCUAAAGUGGAAGUAGCACACUUUCGGGAUUCUUCUAUGGCAAGAUAAAAAAUAGAGAUUUUAUAUUGUUUCCGCUCUGGAGGAUACAAAUUUGGAUUUGAAAGGUAUAUGCACUUUCAAAUUUUAUAGCUUCUCUAAAUUUUGCAAAUCACUAAAUAUUCUUCAAUAGCUUUGGCAAGGGGAAUUAUAAAGUAGUUUUGCAAAUCAAAUACUCGUGUCACCUUUCAAAAGUUGGGGGGGAGGAAAUAGUGGAAGAUGGCCGGUUGGGAGAGAGGGGGAGAGAGAGAGAGUUGUUGAGGCAAAAACGAUAAAAGAAGCUGUAGAAACACAGGUUUCGAAGUUGAGUUCGCGGAACAAUAAAGGCUCAACAUCAAAGUAAUCCUUUCCAAUCUACCCUCAUAUUUAAAUAAAGAACAAGCAACGUGGAUGCUCAAAUUCAUUUGACUAUCAGGUUGUUUUAUCCCUUUAGGGCAUAUGGUGGGGCGAUAAAACGAUAAUAAGUAUUCCUUGAAAAGAAAAGUAAAACUUUAUAUUUGUUGUAACAUUUAUG